rnacentral:lncRNA from 1 species
GUGAAAGCUCAAAAGGACCCAGACCCAGCUUACCUUAUGCCAGUCUUCCUCAUCCUUCAUGUUCUACCCCAGUGGUCUUCAACAUUUGUUAUACAUAAUUCCUGACAUGUUUUAAAAUUGACAUUUAAACUUUUACAUCAUAAGUUAAAAUACUGGAGAGAAUGCAAUUUUGGCAUUUUGUAAAUAUUUUAGAAGAAAUCUUACAUUACUUUUGGAAUCUUACUGCCCUAGCAGUUUUCUUUUUAAAAAUAACAACUUUAUUAAGAUACGUUUAUCAUACCAUAGGGCUCAUACCAUAUCAAUUUGACAACAUCAUUCCUCUAAAAAACAUAAAGACAAGCUCCUUAACAGUUGAAGGCUAUACAUCAUUCCCUUUUCUGUUUGAACUUAUAAAUCCAUUCCUCUUCCUCCACAUAUUUUUAUCCUAAUGAUAUCUUUUGUAUUCUGAAAGUAUUUAUAUAGGUCAUCCUGUCGUACUUCCUUGCAGCAAAUAAUCAGAUACACAUUAAACUUGAAAUAAUUUUUAAUUUUCUGUCAACACAAUGCUCUAAAAUGUUAACACUUUUCUUCUGAAUUAAAAUAGCUUCACAAAUUAUUUAUUUACAAUUUAUAUUACUAGACAAUCAACAUAAACGUAACUUUUCUUUUUUUUUUUUUUUGGAGACGGAGUCUCGCUCUGUUGCCCAGGCUGGAGUGCAGGGGUGGGAUCUCAGUUCACCGCAACCUCUGCCUCGCAGAUUCAAGCGAUUCUCCUGCUUUAGCCUCCCGAGGAGCUGGGAUUACAGGCACAUAUCACCACGCUUGACUAAUUUUUGUAUUCUUAGUAGAGACAGGGUUUCGCCAUGUUGGCCAGACUGGUCUCGAACUGCUGACCUCAAGUGAUCCGCCUGCCUCGGCCUCCCAAAGUGCUGGGAUUACAGGCAUGAGCCACUGCACCUGGCCACAACAAUUUUAAUCAAUAAUUAUUAAGCAUGAGAAGUACAUUUUUAUUGGAAACACAGCUCUAAAAUGUAUGGGGCCAUUUUUAGUUCAUGUUUCUGUGGAUUACUCUUACUGCUGGGAGACAGGGUUCAACAUCAACUUUGUUCCUAUUUUUCUUUUCUUUUAUAGAUAUAAGCAUUGAGGAACCUCAUUCACAAAUUUAAAUAGACGAGAAUGGAAUUUUUUUAUAGCAAUGCCACCCAUUUCUUUGAACCCUUUCCAAGUUACAUAUAAAAAAGUAUUCUAUGAUCAAAGUUAUUUUUAAUGAUUAGCUGGCAAUUAUGUCCUCCUUCAAUGUUACUGAAAGCAAUAAAUUAGAAACCACUUGACUGGCAAAAAGAUAUGCUACCCCAUUAUCAGAGUAUCACUAAUUUUCUCAGCACCAACACCAAUAUGUUGGAUUGUCCUAUUUAUAUCUCUGGAGGUUUUCACACCCUGUGGCCAUGCUCCAUACUAACUUUUGGGAUGGGCAAGAAGUAUGGUUUUUUUUUGAAGGUAGAGACUGGCAAUCAUGAAAGGGGAGGUGGGAAAGAAGAUUCUGCAGGUUGCCACUUCUUCAGGCAGAUGGAUUUUGGGAAUCUGAGUACAUACGAAAGUGAAUGAUCUGGAAAUUGAUUACUUUAAAACUAUCUAUGCCUACAUAUGCCUUGGAAAAUCUUCAAGUACCCUCAGGGGUAUGUAUACUUAACUACAGCUGCUUCAACCCAGGAGUUCUUGAAUUUUAGUGCUUAUCAGACUUGCUUGGUGUGUUUCUAAAUAUGCAAAUUCCACACCAGGCUCCCAGAGAUUCUGAUUCUGGAGGUCUGGGGUGGGGCCCAGGCCUUUUUUUUUUUUUUUUUUUUUUGAGAUGUAGUCUCGCUCUGUCGCCCACACUGGAGUGCAGUGGUGCCACCUCAGCUCACUGCAACUUCCACUCCAAGGGUUCAAGCGAUUCUCCUGCCUCAGCCUCCUGAGUAGCAGGGACUACAGGGGCGUGCCACCACGCCCAGCUAACUUUUUGUAUUUUUAGUAAAGACGGGUUUUUUUUUCUUUUUUUUUUUUUUUGAGAUGGAGUCUUGCUCUGUCACCCAGGCUGGAGUGCAGUGGCGCAAUCUCGGUUCACUGCAAAGUCCGCCUCCCGGGUUCACGCCAUUCUGCUGCCUCAGCCUCCCAAGUAGCUGGGACUACAGGUGCCCGCCACCACGCCCGGCUAAUUUUUUGUAUUUUUAGUAGAGACGGGGUUUCACCGUGUUAGCCAGGAUGGUCUCGAUCUCCUGACCUCAUGAUCCGCCCGCCUCGGCCUCCCAAAGUGCUGGGAUUACAGGCGUGAUCCACUGCGCCUGGCCAUAAAGACGGGGUUUCACCUUGUUAGCCAGGAUGGUCUUGAUCUCCUGACCUCAUGGUCCGCCUGUCUCAGCCUCCCAAAAUGCUGGGAUUACAGGCGUGAGCCACCACGUCUGGCCAAGACAUUACAUUUUAAGCACAACUUCAUGCAGGUCGUCUGUGCUGAAGAAAUCCUGGGCUAGAGUAUGUAUAAGAUGCAGAAGGCAGUUUGCCUGUGGGCUGCAGUGCAUUCCCCGUGGUCUUUUUUCUUAGCUCAGGCUCUAGGGCAAGCCUCUGAAUGAGGAGGCUAAGUUGCCUACUUGGUUCUGUGUGGCCACAUAGGCCCCAGGGAAUGAACACAAUAAUAGCUCUUCCUGAUUGUUGAUUACUGGCCAAAUCCAUCCGUAAACAAUGCCUCCCCUAACACUUCUCCUUCCUCACUUGACACAUGGCAGGUUCUCUGAGAUUGCUCAUGUGCUCUGAUUAGUCCACAGGCCAAAGGAGGGAUGUGUGUCUUUUUCAAGAAUGUUUUCAGGUAAUGGUGAGAGGUGAUCAUUAAAAUUUGCAAGCCAUUUGUUAAACACAGUCGUAAUUUAAAUCAAUAUUACAAUGAAGUUAUAAUAAAGAUACAGGUAAUAAUUACUAAAAACUCAUCACUUCCUGAUUAUUUUACUAUGUUGUACUACCAUUUAUGAUCUUGAGAUUUAUUGUAUCUUUAUGGUACAAAUACUAUGUAACAGUGCUACAGUGCACCAUGUUAGGUGAUGUCACAUUGUUAGCUUAAAAUUGGCCACCGUGGGAGUAUUUACACCAUGGAAAUUAGCAAAUAUUACAAAUUUAUUUUUGGUUUUUUUUGGAGGGUGGACUGUGAAACAUUUACUAGUACACCACUGGCUGUAGGCCUUGGGCAAUUCGUGACCCUACUUGUCUGUCUCUUGGCCUUUACCUGAAUGAGUUAGCUGCUUAAACUUCUAUUCCUAGCUCAGGGAUUCUUAAAGUUGUUGAAAACAGGUUCCUGCAUCCCUUCUCCAACAGACUGUGAUUCAGUGCACGUUAAACUAAUUCCCAGGUGCUUCUGAGGAAGGCAUAGCAGACCACAAUUUUAGAAGUCCCCAUGGGGUUGAAAGGAGAUGACUUGGAAAAAGGAAAAACAAAAUAUCCUGCUCUUGACGUUAGUGCACAAGAGUGAAAGCUUUCAUAGAAUUGCUUAUAAGCUUAAAAUAACUCCUUUCCCUAAUGAAGGUGCAUGGAAGCUUGGCUGACUUAAUGGUUUAUCUAACGGUUUAUUCGACUGAUUAGUGAAUGACCAUGUUAAGGCAAAAACUGACCCAAGGAAGUCAGUUUCCAAUGUCUCUUCAAUUACUCUUUUUCAUAUUGUUGUAUGCACUGCAGCAGACUCAAUUCAGAUCAAAUAUUUGUUGAACAUUACUUACAAGGACCUGUGAUUGACUUUCACACGUAUUCUAUGGGUGAAAUCACUCCAUAAUAAUCAAUAAAGUGGAAUGAUUCUCUUCUGUAUCUGCUUCAACUUGAUCUCCUGUGGAUUUUGAGGCUUCCCACCACCUUCCACUCCCAUUGCCACCUGUGUCCGUCCCAGCUGCUGCUGCUUCUCCAGUUGUCUGUACCUCUCGCUGCCAUACCACUUCAUCACUCCUGCUCUUGCCACACACAGAGCUUCAUUCUGACCAAGUGUGCCUUUCUUUUUUGCCUCAUGCAAAACUCACUCUAGAGAAGACUGUCCUAAUUAAGGACUCUGACUUAACAAGGGUAGGUUCAAUUUAAGUUCACUUUGGCCAUACUUAAAAUAGUUGAGUUUUUUUUCCCCCCCGAGACAGAGGUCUCACUCUGUCGCCCAGGCUGGAGUGCAGUGGCACCAUCUCGGCCCACUGCAACCUCCAGAGGCCUCCUGGGUUCAAGCAAUUCUCCUGCCUCAGCCUCCUGAGAAGCUGGGAUUACAGGUGCGUGCCACCAUGCCCAGUUGAUUUUUGUAUUUUUAGUAGAGACAGGGUUUCACCAAUGUUGGCCAGGCUGGUCUCGAACUCAUGACCUCAGGUGAUCCACCCGCCUCGGCCUCCCAAAGUGCUGGGAUUACAGACAUGAGCCACCACGCCUGGCCCAUUUUGCUAUUUC